AAAUACAGUAUGAGCAAAGUGCGGACGAAGUUAAAUUGCGUCUUAUCUAUGAAGACAACUCUUGAAGCUUUGUAUCUUCUUAUCCUUCUCUCACAGUGGAUCUCCCAAAAGUUGACUUGGGAAGUCAAAUACAAUUGACAUAUGAACUGGGCUUUGGUAUUUGGCAGAAAAAAGCUUGGACAAUUCUCAAACUUUUGAAUGAUGCUAUGUUUAACAAGGUUUUUUUUUAGUUUAUAGAAUGCUCAACUUGGGUCCAUGUAUUAAUCUUGGUAGCUUUUAUUGUGUGAGACAUUUAGAAAUCUCAACGAUGUCUUGAUUUGCUAUUUUGAUUCCUGCAUCUGGACUUGAUGGGGUUUAUAUUUAGAGCCGAAGCAGAUCGAAAAGUGUACCAAUCUGAUCCAUUUUUCAAACAGCUGAGAAAGAGACCAUUCCUUCGGCACAAUCAGAAGUCUUCUUCACUCUUGACAACCAGCUUGCAAUGGAAGAGUUUUUGGAGUUUCAUAUUCUCGGUUUUUGCUUCUUAGGAAUUGUAUGAUUUAACAUUAUCCUUUCUACUAAAAGAUGGAUAGAGCUUUUAUUCUCGGGGAUGCCAUCGAGUACAUGAAGGAGCUUCUUCAAAGGAUCAAUGAUCUGCAUAACGAAUUGGAGUCAAACCCUGGUAGCUCUCCGCUCACACCUACAACUUCCAUCCUUUGACUCCUACUCCAGCUACCUUGCCCUGUCGUAUCAAGGACGAACUUUGCCCCAGUUCAUUACCGAGUUCUAACGGGCAGCCAGCAAGGGUAAAAAGAUGUCUUCACUUUUCUCUUAUCGUAUACCAUUAGUGCAUAAUUGAUUCCGACAUGCUUGAGCACCAUUUUGUGUGUACAUAAUAUAUACACAUGUUUAUGUAGGUUGAAGUGAGGCUGAGAGAAUGAAAAGUUGUAUGGGGUUUUCCCUUUGUCUUGAACUUCAUUGUGACUAAUGUGAGGAAUUAUAGUUUAUUUAUUUAA